UUCCUAAGUAGAGUUUUUUCUUUUAGGGAAUUUUCGUCCUUGAUUACUCCAUAUAUAAAGCUCUCGAACAAAUGCCAAACCUAGCUUGCAGCAUUGGUUGCAGCACUGGGAGGUCGCGGUUCUUUUGAAAAUUCUGAUGAUAAUAAUGUUGUGGUAGUGGUAAUAAUAAAAUUUCGGUAAUGAGAGGUCAUGGUUCUUUUAAAGCUUUGCGAUGGUAACAAUGAACUCACACUAGAUAAUGAAGAGAAUUUUUUCAAUGAUAACCCGACUUCCGAUAAGUCAAAGGUGGCGAUGAUUGUUAUCACAUUCGAGAGAGGAUCAUGUAAAUACUACAUCUUGGAUCAUGGGUUGGACCUAUGGAUGUUGAGGUCAAGCAAAGAAAAAUUUCUAAUCAGAGAAAAUGGACCAGGAAACCAACAACAACGAACGCUCUGAAAAUGUAUAUUUUCGAAUUAGUUUUUUACAUUGUACUGUGUGAAUCAUUUUUUUUUGGCUC